rnacentral:rRNA from 1 species
GACGAACGCUGGCGGCGUGCUUAACACAUGCAAGUCGAACGGAAAGGCCCUGCUUUUGUGGGGUGCUCGAGUGGCGAACGGGUGCGUAACACGUGAGUAACCUGCCCUUGACUUUGGGAUAACUUCAGGAAACUGGGGCUAAUACCGGAUAGGAGCUCCUGCUGCAUGGUGGGGGUUGGAAAGUUUCGGCGGUUGGGGAUGGACUCGCGGCUUAUCAGCUUGUUGGUGGGGUAGUGGCUUACCAAGGCUUUGACGGGUAGCUGGCCUGAGAGGGUGACCGGCCACAUUGGGACUGAGAUACGGCCCAGACGCCUACGGGAGGCAGCAGUGGGGAAUAUUGCACAAUGGGCGGAAGCCUGAUGCAGCAACGCCGCGUGCGGGAUGACGGCCUUCGGGUUGUAAACCGCUUUCGCCUGUGACGAAGCGUGAGUGACGGUAAUGGGUAAAGAAGCACCGGCUAACUACGUG